UUCAAAUGUACUCAGUGUGUUUUAUAACUCAAGACGGGCAGAUAUCAUUAAAUUCGCAUCAGCUGCGCUUUACCUGUAGUGCUAAUCACCAAAUAUUGGCACGCUAACAAGCUAAACAAAGAUGGUGAUGAAGGUAAACAUUCCACCUGAUUAGCAUCAGCGCUUCAAUAUGGUCAUUGUAGUAGGAGUAUGUGAGCAUGGCUGCAUUAGCAUAUAGCUUAAAUGCACAAUAUGUCAUUCUUCCACUUGAAGUACUGGUUUGUUUUUUCCUUUUCCCAGCUUCUAGUGAUCAAAAAUGGGUGAUCAUCCGUGACGAGGGGGUUACAACCAGACAUUUUUCUCACUUACGACUUGCUUCCAAGGAGCUCCUGCCAAUGAAAUGAUUUGGUAUUUAGCCACCUAAAGGUUCAGUGGUUCACGCUGGAGAAAGAUUGUUCAGACCAAACACCAACAACAAGUCUGUUCACUGAAUGCUGAUGCUUUCGAUGGCCUAGGGAUCAAGAAUCAACUUCUCCAGAUUUGUCUACUGCACCGUUAAGUUCAGAGAUUUCCAUCUCAGAGAAGAGAUGAUUUCAACAGAUCUUCCCUUUAUUCCUCGCGAAUCCGAGCUGUAAAUAAAGGCCGUCCCAGGAGAGACGGAUGAAAGGGCUCUCGGUGACAGCUGAUAAUAAAAAAUAGAUUUUAG